GACGAACCGUGCGAACGUUAUUCGGAAUCACUGGGCUUAAAGCGCGUGUAGGCGGGAGGGCACGUCCGUCGCUGAAAGCCCCCGGCUCAACUGGGGAGGGUCACGCGAUACUGAUCGACUCGAAGGCAGGAGAGGGUAGUGGAAUUCCCGGUGUAGUGGUGAAAUGCGUAGAUAUCGGGAGGAACACCAGUGGCGAAGGCGACUACCUGGCCUGUUCUUGACGCUGAGGCGCGAAAGCUAGGGGAGCAAACGGG
rnacentral:rRNA from 1 species